GUGAAGUGAUGAUGAAUCCAUUCUCAGAGCGCUGCUGCAAUGCCCUCCCUGCAGCACGCAGAUUCCUAUUCUAGGGUCCCCGUGCUGUGCAGCCUCCAAAUACCCGCCAGCCUUUCAUUGUUCUGCUGCGAGCUGCUUGUGUGUCUGGCCAACUCUGUGCAGGAGAGGGGCAGAGCCAGCAGGGCGGGAGCCCCUCUUCAUGGGGGCUCUGUCUCAGCUAAGACGAGUGAUGCUGUCUGAUCAC
ensembl:snoRNA small nucleolar RNA SNORD17